rnacentral:rRNA from 1 species
UGGGGAAUCUUCCGCAAUGGACGAAAGUCUGACGGAGCAACGCCGCGUGAGUGAAGAAGGUUUUCGGAUCGUAAAGCUCUGUUGUUUGAGACGAACGUGCAGUAUACGAAUAAUGUGCUGUAAUGACGGUAUCAAACUAGAAAGCCACGGCUAACUACGUGCCAGCAGCCGCGGUAAUACGUAGGUGGCAAGCGUUGUCCGGAAUUAUUGGGCGUAAAGGGAGCGCAGGUGGGAAUGUAAGUCAGUCUUAAAAGUGCGAGGCUCAACCUCGUGAUGGGACAGAAACUACAUUUCUUGAGUGCAGGAGAGGAAAGUGGAAUUCCUAGUGUAGCGGUGAAAUGCGUAGAUAUUAGGAGGAACACCAGUGGCGAAGGCGACUUUCUGGACUGUAACUGACACUGAGGCUCGAAAGCUAGGGGAGCGAACG